ACACAGUGGCUGGCUAUCUUCUAUUUCAGUCUACAGUUCAGUUAUAUUCAGUUGUGUUCAAUCAGUCUCAAAGCGCAUAAAGUUAUAAUGGCUACGUCACAGAGCACAAGCGAUUGCCCUGAUCAAGAUAACACGAUAUUCGUUGGAUUGUCAAAACAGACAACAAAUAAUGGAGAAAAUUAUAUUUUCGGUAAGUGUUCUACAAGAUAGAUUGUAUUGUCUAAUAGUAACAGUUCAUAAUGUGUAUGUCUCGGUGUUUUAAAGUACCCUUUGAGAUCUCGCGAUUUAUAUAGCAGAUGAAGUAUAGCUCACUUGACUGUUAAGGAGGGUAUCUAGUGGCUAGCACAACGACCAGCAUCUUAAAAAAACACGAAAUUCAAAAUCCAAAUCUUCACCGAGAUUCGAACACAAGAUUUUGGGUUCGGGAGACAAGUGCUUUGUUACUCGACCACUUCGCCCCAUGUCUCUGU
rnacentral:sRNA from 1 species